rnacentral:rRNA from 1 species
AUUGAACGCUGGCGGCAGGCCUAACACAUGCAAGUCGAGCGAGCGGCGGACGGGUGAGUAAUGUAUGGGGACUGCCCGAUAGAGGGGGAUAACUACUGGAAACGGUAGCUAAUACCGCAUACUAUCGGAUAACCAAUUUGGGAUUAGCUAGUUGGUGAGGGAAUGGCUCACAAAGGCGACGAUCCCUAGCUGGUCUGAGAGGUUGAGCAGACACAUUGGGACGGAGACACGGCCCAGACUCCUACGGAGGCAGCAGUGGGGAAUAUUGCACAAUGGGCGCAAGCCUGAUGCAGCAAGGCCGCGUGUAUGAAGAAGGCCCUAGGGUUGUAAAGUACUUUCAGUCGGGAGGCGUUACCGACAGAAGAAGCACCGGCUAACUCCGUGCCAGCAGCCGCGGUAAUAC